GCGCUGGUGGUUCAGUGGUUAAAUUCUCGCCUGCCACGCGGGAGACCGGGGUUCGGUUCCCCGCUAGCGCA
rnacentral:tRNA from 1 species